UACGUAGGGGGCAAGCGUUGUCCGGACUUACUGGGCGUAAAGCGCGCGCAGGCGGAUGAGUAUGUGCCGUGUGAAAGCGCCGGGCUAACCCCGGCGAGGUCAUGGUAGACAGCUCGUCUGGAGCCUCAGAGAGGUCGAUGGAAUUCCGGGUGGAGCGGUGAAAUGCGUAGAUAUCCGGAGGAACACCAGGGGCGAAAGCGGUCGACUGGCUGAGUGCUGACGCUGAGGCGCGAAGGCGUGGGGAGCAAACCGG
rnacentral:rRNA from 1 species